CAAGUCGAGCGGAGUGAUGGUGCUUGCACUAUCACUUAGCGGCGGACGGGUGAGUAAUGCUUAGGAAUCUGCCUAUUAGUGGGGGACAACAUUUCGAAAGGAAUGCUAAUACCGCAUACGUCCUACGGGAGAAAGCAGGGGAUCUUCGGACCUUGCGCUAAUAGAUGAGCCUAAGUCGGAUUAGCUAGUUGGUGGGGUAAAGGCCUACCAAGGCGACGAUCUGUAGCGGGUCUGAGAGGAUGAUCCGCCACACUGGGACUGAGACACGGCCCAGACUCCUACGGGAGGCAGCAGUGGGGAAUAUUGGACAAUGGGCGCAAGCCUGAUCCAGCCAUGCCGCGUGUGUGAAGAAGGCCUUAUGGUUGUAAAGCACUUUAAGCGAGGAGGAGGCUACUGAAGUUAAUACCUUCAGAUAGUGGACGUUACUCGCAGAAUAAGCACCGGCUAACUCUGUGCCAGCAGCCGCGGUAAUACAGAGGGUGCAAGCGUUAAUCGGAUUUACUGGGCGUAAAGCGCGCGUAGGCGGCUAAUUAAGUCAAAUGUGAAAUCCCCGAGCUUAACUUGGGAAUUGCAUUCGAUACUGGUUAGCUAGAGUGUGGGAGAGGAUGGUAGAAUUCCAGGUGUAGCGGUGAAAUGCGUAGAGAUCUGGAGGAAUACCGAUGGCGAAGGCAGCCAUCUGGCCUAACACUGACGCUGAGGUGCGAAAGCAUGGGGAGCAAACAGGAUUAGAUACCCUGGUAGUCCAUGCCGUAAACGAUGUCUACUAGCCGUUGGGGCCUUUGAGGCUUUAGUGGCGCAGCUAACGCGAUAAGUAGACCGCCUGGGGAGUACGGUCGCAAGACUAAAACUCAAAUGAAUUGACGGGGGCCCGCACAAGCGGUGGAGCAUGUGGUUUAAUUCGAUGCAACGCGAAGAACCUUACCUGGCCUUGACAUAGUAAGAACUUUCCAGAGAUGGAUUGGUGCCUUCGGGAACUUACAUACAGGUGCUGCAUGGCUGUCGUCAGCUCGUGUCGUGAGAUGUUGGGUUAAGUCCCGCAACGAGCGCAACCCUUUUCCUUAUUUGCCAGCGAGUAAUGUCGGGAACUUUAAGGAUACUG
rnacentral:rRNA from 1 species